rnacentral:rRNA from 1 species
GACGAACGCUGGCGGCGUGCUUAACACAUGCAAGUCGAGCGAUGAAGCUCCUUCGGGAGUGGAUUAGCGGCGGACGGGUGAGUAACACGUGGGUAACCUGCCUCAUAGAGGGGAAUAGCCUUUCGAAAGGAAGAUUAAUACCGCAUAAGAUUGUAGCUUCGCAUGAAGCAGCAAUUAAAGGAGUAAUCCGCUAUGAGAUGGACCCGCGUCGCAUUAGCUAGUUGGUGAGGUAACGGCUCACCAAGGCGACGAUGCGUAGCCGACCUGAGAGGGUGAUCGGCCACAUUGGGACUGAGACACGGCCCAGACUCCUACGGGAGGCAGCAGUGAGGAAUUUUCCGCAAUGGGCGAAAGCCUGACGGAGCGACACCGCGUGAAGGAUGAAGCUUUUCGGAGUGUAAACUUCUUUUAUGUGUGAAGAUUAUGACGGUAACAUAUGAAUAAGCACCGGCUAACUACGUGCCAGCCGCCGCGGUAA